rnacentral:rRNA from 1 species
CUAAGAGAAUGGAAUUACAGGGAAUAACUAUUUAAAACUUAAAAAUUAAAUUUAUUUUAAUUUGUGAAGAAACAAUUAUUAGAAUUAAGGACAAGAAGACCCUAAGAAUUUUAAAAUAAUUAAUUUCUUGCAAGAAAUUAAUUAUUUUUAGUUGGGGCAACUAGAAAAUAUUAUAAACUUUUUUAAUACAAAAUGAUCCAUUAUUAAUGAUAAUUUGGAAAAAAUACUCUAGGGAUAACAGCGUAA